GGGGCCAUGGCUUAGUGGCUGAGCAUUUGCCUGGAAUGUAGAAGGCACCAGGUUCAAUUCCCAGUGUCUCCA
rnacentral:tRNA from 1 species